rnacentral:rRNA from 1 species
UACGUAGGGACCGAGCGUUGUCCGGAAUCAUUGGGCGUAAAGAGCGUGUAGGCGGCCACUUAAGUCCUGCGUGAAAUCCCCAGGCUUAACCUGGGAAGUGCGCGGAAAACUGGCGAGCUUGAGUGCCGGAGAGGGUCGCGGAAUUCCCGGUGUAGAGGUGAAAUUCGUAGAUAUCGGGGAGGAACACCAGUGGCGAAGGCGGCGACCUGGAC